GAGUUUGAUCGUGGCUCAGGAUGAACGCUGGCGGCGUGCCUAAUACAUGCAAGUCGAGCGAACAGACGAGGAGCUUGCUCCUCUGACGUUAGCGGCGGACGGGUGAGUAACACGUGGAUAACCUACCUAUAAGACUGGGAUAACUUCGGGAAACCGGAGCUAAUACCGGAUAAUAUAUUGAACCGCAUGGUUCAAUAGUGAAAGACGGUUUUGCUGUCACUUAUAGAUGGAUCCGCGCCGCAUUAGCUAGUUGGUAAGGUAACGGCUUACCAAGGCAACGAUGCGUAGCCGACCUGAGAGGGUGAUCGGCCACACUGGAACUGAGACACGGUCCAGACUCCUACGGGAGGCAGCAGUAGGGAAUCUUCCGCAAUGGGCGAAAGCCUGACGGAGCAACGCCGCGUGAGUGAUGAAGGUCUUCGGAUCGUAAAACUCUGUUAUUAGGGAAGAACAAAUGUGUAAGUAACUAUGCACGUCUUGACGGUACCUAAUCAGAAAGCCACGGCUAACUACGUGCCAGCCC
rnacentral:rRNA from 1 species